rnacentral:rRNA from 1 species
UACGUAGGGGCAAGCGUUGUCCGGAAUCAUUGGGCGUAAAGAGCGCGUAGGCGGCCCUGUAAGUCCGCUGUGAAAGUCAAGGGCUCAACCCUUGAAUGCCGGUGGAUACUGCAGGGCUAGAGUCCGGAAGAGGCGAGUGGAAUUCCUGGUGUAGCGGUGAAAUGCGCAGAUAUCAGGAGGAACACCGAUGGCGAAGGCAGCUCGCUGGGACGGUACUGACGCUGAGGCGCCGAAAGCGUGGGGAGCAAACAGG